AACGAACGCUGGCGGCAUGCCUAACACAUGCAAGUCGAACGAGACCUUCGGGUCUAGUGGCGCACGGGUGCGUAACGCGUGGGAAUCUACCCUUGGGUUCGGGAAUAACUUACUUCGAAAGGGAAGUGCUAAUACCGGAUGAUGUCGUAAGACCAAAGAUUUAUCGCCCAAGGAUGAGCCCGCGUAGGAUUAGCUAGUUGGUGAGGUAAAGGCUCACCAA
rnacentral:rRNA from 1 species